CCUACGGGUGGCAGCAGUGAGGAAUAUUGGUCAAUGGGCGAGAGCCUGAACCAGCCAAGUCGCGUGAAGGAUGACGGCCCUACGGGUUGUAAACUUCUUUUGUCAGGGAGCAAUUGAGUCCACGUGUGGUCUUAGCGAGAGUACCUGAAGAAAAAGCAUCGGCUAACUCCGUGCCAGCAGCCGCGGUAAUACGGAGGAUGCGAGCGUUAUCCGGAUUUAUUGGGUUUAAAGGGUGCGUAGGCGGAAUAUCAAGUCAGCGGUAAAAAUUCGGGGCUCAACCCCGUCGUGCCGUUGAAACUGAUGUUUUUGAGUGGGCGAGAAGGAUGCGGAAUGCGUGGUGAAGCGGUGAAAUGCAGGGAUACCACGCAGAACUCGGAUUGCGAAGGCAGCAUCCCGGCGCCCAACUGACGCGGAAGCACGAAAGCGUGGGUAUCGAACAGGAUUAGAUACCCCUGUAGUC
rnacentral:rRNA from 1 species